AACGAACGCUGGCGGCACGUUUUAAGCAUGCAAGUCGAAUGGCAGUGGGGGCAACCCCAUGAGAAUGGCGAACGGGUGAGUAACACGUAGGUGAUCUGCCUGACGGAUGGGGAUAGCUUGUGGAAACACAGGGUAAUACCGAAUGAGCUGACGAGACUUUGGUUUUGUUAGUAAAGGUGCUACGGCACCGCCGACAGAGGAGCCUGCGGCUGAUUAGCUAGUUGGUGGGGUAAAGGCCUACCAAGGCGACGAGCAGUAGCCGGCCUGAGAGGGUGUACGGCCACACUGGAACUGAGACACGGUCCAGACUCCUACGGGAGGCAGCAGCUAAGAAUCUUCCGAAAUGGGCGAAAGCCUGACGGAGCGAUGCCGCGUGAUCGGUGAAGGUCGAGAGAUUGUAAAGAUCUUUUCUACAUGAGGAAUAAGUCUGGGAGGGAAUGCCUGGAUGAUGACGUUAGUGUAGGAAUAAGCCCCGGCUAAUUACGUGCCAGCCGCCGCGGUAA
rnacentral:rRNA from 1 species